GUUGUACAGAGGAAAGAAAGCCUGCAUUACCCUGGAAUCCAGUUAGGACAGGAAAGGCAGAUUCCUAGGGAGCACUGGAAAACUGUGUUUGGCAGUGGGGACGUCCCUGGAGAGCCUCUGCCACUGGGCAUCCAGCUCCUUACCUUUCUGAUCGCCAACUGCUUUCAGAGUUCAAGGAGAGGCAAGCAGCUCUUAGGUGUCCGGUCCUCCGGCUGACCGGGCUGGGAGAGUGGGCCCAAGGAAGAGCAGGCGCCAUCCUUGCCCCAGAAGACCUCACAACCCAGGUGGGGAGGUGAGAUUCCUGGACUGGAAACAAGAUGAGGCAAUGAACUUGUAUCGAGACUGCACAGAACCAUGGACCACAAAGCCUAAAAUAUUUACUGCCUGACCCUGUACACAAAGUUUGCUGGCCCCUGUUUGAGAGGUCUUCCAUCCCUGGAAGGACAGAGCCGACGACAUCUCUGAAAGAAGCGCCCCUCAAUAUCUUCCUUGGGAAAGAAGACGGCUCCCUUCAAGUUCGGGUCAUGCUUUUCACACGUUGAAGGUGAAUAAAUUGAGGCUUAGAGCCCGGCCUCAGCCCAUGCAAUGGGACCGUUUCUGCAUUGAGACCAGAACCCUGGACUUAGUGAAGCAGACCUACAACUGCAGGUGGGAGCCCAGGCGAGGAAGAAGUUUCUCAUAAGUAGAGCUGCCUCAUCUGGUAGGAAGCCCCCUGUUGCUGGAGGUAUGCAAGCAGAUCUGGGGAGAUGGAGGGAGAGGCCAGGCAAAGCAAUUCCAGUUCCCUUCUUUGCCACAGAUUACACAGGUUAUCAUCUGUCCAACUCGGAGUCCUCUUUGUCCACACAGAAGGGUCAGGGUAACACACAGCUCCUGGUGCUGCGGCUUCAAACCCCCCCAGUCUCUUUACCAUCCUGCUUGUUUCUGGUCCAACUGCUGCUAGUCCUAUGUUCCAGAGAAAAGUCAUGGCAUUUACUGGCCUCCGUCACUUUAAUGAAAAAGCCCCUACACCAAACAAAUACAAGCACAGACAUUUGCAACUAAUUAUGGUAUUGCUGAUCAGUCAAAUUUCAUUGCAAAUUGCAUGUUGAAAUUGAUAGUGGGCGAGUCAUGAAUAAACUGGUUGUCUGGAAAAGUGACACGGGCACACAGGACUAGGUUAAUAAUUCAAUUUGGGCUCAGCCAGACACUCUGAAGAAGAGGAAGAAGCAGAUUAGCGGUGCCCCAAGACUGCUUGUUUUCCCGGGUACCUCUUGCCAGUGCGCCUUCUAAGGGAAGCUGAGCCUCCUUUAGGAUCCUCCCACUUUGGGAGACCGCAGGGCACUGAGUAUUCCAGCCUUUAAUUCUUGGUUUGCAAAAUUGCAGCCUUGAGUGAUGUGGGGAGGGGAAGACGGCCUUACAUCCCAUCCCCUUUGCUGCUAAGAAGCCCACUGAGGAGGCUUCCUGGAGACUGCCGCCUCCUGCUGCAGUGAAGACUGCUCGUGGCCUCCCAUCUGUGGGUACUGGGCUGGGAAAGCCCACGGGGGUUCCCCAGGUCAGGUCUGGCUCCAGAGAAGGUGGAAAAGGAGCCAGAGGGGCCUUAGAGAGCUCCCCACUUGCCCUGGUCCCCGUGGCGGCCCACAGAACUAUGAAGCCCAAAAGUAAGACAAUGCAUCGAGGCCACAAGAUAGACGGGCAGUGUCCUCAGAAUUGGGCCUUCCUGGAGGGUCGCUGUGCCCCUGCACCUGGGGAGGAAGGCAGGAUGGAGACACAGAGCAGGCAGAGUGCACAGAUGUCAGGGGCAAGUAAGAUGCAGUCACAGUGGCCACGUUGAUCCACCCUGGAGUACUUCCCCGUGAGCUGCUCGGCCACUCUAACUGCCCUGGCUCUAAAGGCCUGUGCGGAGGCAAAGUCUUAAUUUUUGCCCUCUAGAUUGGAGUUUAAAACUCAAAUGUCUACAUGGAUGUGGGUGCGCUCUAGACUGGGCAGGCCUGGUAAGCUUGGGCCUGCCUCGGGGGGAGCAGCCAUGCUUUGGCUUCAGGAGACUGUCUAGAGACAAUAUGAGCUGGAAUCCAGAAAAAGAUUUAGGCCAGGGAUAUAAAUUUGGAAGUUGUCAACAACUGAAUUAUAUUUAAAGCCACUCUGGGGGAGAUUAACAACAGAGUGAGUGGAGAUGCGAGGUCCAGGGACUGAACCUUAGAGAGGAACAAGUGCCAGCAAGAGGGCCCGUGAAGGAGCAAUCAGCCAGGCAGGAGGGAAACCAGGAGAGGGAGGCGAGGGCGCCGAGCAGGGAGAGAUGAACGCCUACACUCUAGAAAAGAGGCAAGGGAAGCUAGCCUUGAGAUUUAACAUGGAGACUCCUUGACAGGGGUAUCUUGCCGUCGUGCUGGAGGCUGAGGGGAGUGCACGGGAGAAAGGAAGGAAGGAGAGGACGUGAAGGCAGCAGAACCUUCAGAAGUUUUCCCAUAAAUAAGAGCAGAGAAAUCGGAGGACAGUUUGAGGGGUAUACAAGGCCAAGAGGAGGUUUUUCUUUAAGAGAGAAAAAUUGCAGUAUUUUUGGGUGUGGAUGGGAAUAAACCUGGAGAGAGGGGAAUUUUGAUGAUGCAGGUGAGAAGGGGGAUAAAAGUUGGAGUGAAGUCCUUGAGUAAACAGGUGGAGAUGGCAUCUGGUGCCCCAAAAAGGAAGAUGUCCUUAAACAGGAGCACGGAAGGUUCCCCCAUAUUAGUGAAAUGGAAGGCAGAGUCACUGAGCACAGAUGCAGGUGGGUGGAGGAAGUAGUGGUGGAGCCCAUGGAACGUCUCUUCUAUUUUCUUAGCAAACUAGGAAGAGGUUGUCAGCUGAGAGUGAGGUGGAGGAGGAGGUGUGAAGCGAUCGGUGUGAAGCCAUCGGCGGGAGGGAGGGUGUGAGUAGACUUGGGGAUGGAGUAUGACGGCUGGGCAGUGUUUAGGUCUCACUUAGGGAGGGUUAUGGUCAUUAAUUUAAGGUGAGGCAGCAUAACAAAGAAGAAACAGACUCACAGACACAGAGAAUAAACUAGAGGUUACCAAUGGGAAGAGGGCAUGGGAGGUACAAAGUAUUCGGUGUAAGACAGGCUCAAGGAUGUAUUAUUGUACCACAUUGGGAACAUAGGAAGUAUUUUGUAAUAAGUGUAAAUGAAAAGUUAUAUAAAAAUUUUAAAAAUAAUAAUUCUGGGAGUUCCCGUCGUGGCGCAGUGGUUAACGAAUCCGACUAGGAACCAUGAGGUUGCGGGUUCGAUCCCUGCCCUUGCUCAGUGGGUUAACGAUCCGGCGUUGCCGUGAGCUGUGGUGUAGGUUGCAGACGCGGCUCGGAUCCUGCGUUGCUGUGGCUCUGGCGUAGGCCGGUGGCUACAGCUCCGAUUCAACCCCUAGCCUGGGAACCUCCAUAUGCCGCGGAAGCGGCCCAAGAAAUAGCAACCAUAACAACAACAACAACAAAAAAAAAAAAAAAAAAAAAAAAAAAAAAA
rnacentral:lncRNA from 9 species